AAUCUAAGUGGCUAUUUAUAUACUUGCCUCCAUGUAUAUUUAUAUGCUCAUGAAAAAUUGGAGACUUGCUUUUUGAUUUUUAUGAGUCUUUUCAACAAAGAAGUAGAGGCUUUCUUUCUCGAAAUUUAAUUUUAGAAUUUGUGAAGGUUUUGGGAAUGGCUCGGAAAAGACGAUUUUAUACAUGCAUGCAAGAGUUUGAUAUGUGUAUUGUCUCAUCAUGACUGAGUCAAAGUUUGAUUCAAAUAUUUCCAUGGUGUGGUAGAAAUUAAACAAAUCUUUCAUAUGUGUUCAUUGAAUAUUCCCGUGCAUGCACGAUGAAUGUUUUUGAGUAUCAAUUUUUUUGUUUUAUUUUUUUUUGUUUUUCGAUUCUAAAAACGUAGGGGAGGGGAUUUUAUUGGUUUUCUCUAUGAGUUUUCUCGUUGUAACGGUUGAGUUUUUUUUUUUUCCGUUUCAAAAUGAGAUUCUCGUUUCUCUGCCUUUAUCUAAAAGCAUCUACAGUAAAUUAAAAGACACUAAAAAACAAAAAAUUAAAAGACACUGAAAUUUUUUUUAUACUUAAUAAACAUUUAAGUAUAUAUAAACAGUCUUACUAGUCCCAAGUUUUACAAUUCAAAAUUUAUUAGUAAUUGUUUUUUGGAAAAAAUCUAAGUGAAUUUUUGUCCAAAAUUUUCCUUUUACUGUGUUUAUUCUAGUGGGUGUCAUUAACUUUAAUCUUGUGAUUCUUUUAACGUUUACCAUUGGGAACCUUCACAUGAAAUAAAUGUCUACUUUAUCGAGUCAUACCUUCUUCUCCGUAAAUUAAUUGAUGUUCUUCUUCAAAAUUUGAGUUUCUGUUUUUUGUAAUAAACUAAACGAAAGAAUUUGGGAAUACGUGUUUAUACAAUUAUACUUUUAAAGUUAUAUUUAUGUCAAAAUUUAAGUAUUUCGAGAAGAGGAAAGAUCCUUUUGACAUUUUUGUUCUAUAGUUAUUAUUUAUUAGAAACGUAACGGCAAGAAUCUGAACAGUACCUACUCAACGGGGUCCAUAAGUCUAGUCAACAAAUGUAGUUGACUAUGUCCAGGCCAAAAACGUACGGUUAUUAUUAACCAUAGUUAAUAGUUAAAAGUUAACCAUGGUUCGGUUAACAUUAAACCCUUUUUCCUCUUUUAACAAACCCCAAAACCUUUCUUCAGAUUUUCUCUCUGCUUUUCACAAUCGUCGUCUCAAUUUUUUCCUGCAAAAUUCCGAUCGCCAUGGAUGAUGGAGCUGUUGAGAUACGUGAAGAGCAACGUCGAUUGAUCGUGGCCCAGCAGCAACCACCAUGUAUGGCUCGUGAACAAGACCAGUACAUGCCAAUCGCAAACGUCAUAAGAAUCAUGCGUAAAAUCUUACCGUCGCACGCUAAAAUCUCUGACGACGCCAAAGAAACGAUUCAAGAAUGUGUCUCCGAGUACAUAAGCUUCGUGACCGGUGAAGCCAACGAGCGUUGCCAACGUGAGCAACGUAAGACCAUAACUGCUGAAGAUAUCCUUUGGGCUAUGAGCAAGCUUGGGUUCGAUAACUACGUGGAUCCCCUCACCGUGUUUAUUAACCGGUACCGUGAGAUAGAGACCGAUCGUGGGUCGGCACUUAGAGGUGAGCCACCGUCGUUGAGACAGGCCUAUGGAGGAAAUGGUAUUGGGUUUCACGGCCCACCACAUGGCCCAUCUCAUGGCCUACCUCCUCCUGGUCCUUAUGGUUAUGGUAUGUUGGACCAAUCCAUGGUUAUGGGAGAUGGUCGGUUCUACCAAAACGGGUCGUCGGGUCAGGACGAAUCAAGUGCUGGUGGUGGCUAUUCGUCUUCCAUUAACGGAAUGCCGGCGUAUGACCAAUAUGGUCAGUAUAAGUGAAGAUGGAAUUAUUCUUCAUUUUUAUGUAUAUCGAUUCAAAACAUGUGUUUGAAUAGAUAUUUUAUCUUUGUAUUAUCAAUAACAUUUCUAUAUAUAAUGUUGCUCCUUUUAAGGAAAAGUGUUGAGUUUCAAUACUUUUCGAGAACUGAUUUAUAUAUGCAAAUGAAAAAGUGUUUUUGGAUGAAACUCUAUGCAAUAUUACAUGAUCUAAAGGUUUUUGUAAUUUUAAAGCUGCUAUAGUUAGAAGAUAACUAAACAUUAUAGGAACCAAGUUUGCUUUUUUUUAUAUAGUUAGAAGAUUUAUAUAUGCAAACAAAAAGGGUUAUAAAAUCAAAAUUCAAAAUGAAGCAAGUGGUCCAAAUGCAUUGACCACAUAAACACUUUAAUAACCAAAAUAUAGGAUUUUUGUAAGACUCUCAAGUCUGACGCACAACAGUUUAUGUUAUUUAUAGAGUUGACUGUACCAUUAAAGAUUUCAAAAAAAUUAGAUCUUUAUUAGGUUCAUUUGUUGUUACACUCCUCCUUCUAUAUAAUAAUAACCUCCACUCCUCUCUAUGAGCAGCAAUGUGAAAGAUAUGGUCCAAGUGAAGUCAAACCCAACAAAUGAGCCUAGUCAACAACCACAACACAAAAAGACAAAGACCAGAAAAGUUUCACCGGCUGAGAGUAUCUCCAACAGUAAUGUCUUGAGGAAUAUCUUAAGAUUAAAAAAAUAAAAAAUAAUAAAAAAGUAGGAGAGAGUGUAGACACAGUUUCUGGUUUGAGAAACUUUGAGAAACUGUGUUUCCACUUGUCAUUUUAUUAUUGGUCAAAUUCUUUUUUUAUAAUUUAUAAUUUAAAUAAAUAAUUUAUUUAUUAUAAAUUGAUUAAAAUAAUAUUUUUGAUACACCCACACAGUGUCACAUAAACUCCCCUCUGAUCGCGGAAGCUGUGGCGGCCCUUCUCGCGUUGCAACACGCCCGAAACCUUGGUUUCACAUAGCUCUCUCUUGCUUCUGACUCGUCUCAACUCGUCAAAGCACUUCAAUCGGAGCUUCAAGUAAAGGAACUCCACGGGAUUCAAUUCGACAUCCUUGAUCUAUGUUUAAGUUUCUCUGCAAUUUCUUUUCGCUUUAUCCCACGAUCUCAAAACACUGUAGCGGAUUCGUUGGCCAAGGAGGCCUUACUCUCCUUUGUACUGGGCCUGGCCCAACUCUAGUUUUCAAUUGAAUCAUCCAUCCUUUGCACAAAAAAAAAAAUUUGUAAGCGUUAUGAUUGCAUUGGAGAGGUUUACUUGUCCGUUCAUUUUUUGAAUUCAAAUAAUGGGAGUUCAAACACUUAGAAAUAUCAGCAUUACUAUAUAUAUACUACUAGUAUUCAUUUGUUUAACAUAUAUGGAUGGUCGAUUAUUUUUUUGUUAAUCAACGCCGAAGGGUAAAGAGCUCAUGUUUUUUUCGUGAUGUAGCCUAAAGAUUAAUAUAAGUUUAUUGCAAAAAAAAAUAAUGAAAAAUCACUUCUAUUAAUUUUGUUAACAUGCAAGGUCAAAUUACUUUUCACUCUCUAUCUCAUUUCUCGUCAUGCAUAUAUGUUCGCAAGAAUCUCCAAUGUUGAUAUAUUCACCUAUCUCAACUCAUAUUUACGUAAUGUAAUUUCUUGUAAUUUGCCAGUUCAUCUCUACUCGAAAAUGCCCAAUCCUAAUAACAUAGAGGUGUGCUGAAAAAUAAUGGGAGAAUUAGCCUCAUAAUAUUUUGCGUAAGAGUAACUUGGAAGACGUACAUUGACCAAGGUAUUAUGAUUUUUGUCAGUUAAUGGCACCCCAUUGGACCAACAAAUUAAGCAAUCCCCGCAUUCCUUUAAUUUAAUCGUAACAAUAUGUAUUAAACUAAAUAUACAUGCACAACAAUUAAUUUCAAAUACAUUAAAAAAACGCACAAGUCAUAACAAUGAUUAUUCGAGUUUAUUACUCCAUAUGCGACUAUGAACAUUUUAAUAAACUUCGACAUCAAAGAAGCUGAGACAUGCAUGCCGAAACAAGCAUUCCUCUUCUGACUUCUCUCGUCCACAAUUUUUUUUUAUUUUUUGAAUACUAAGGUGUUAAAUUAUUAUAUCUAAUUAAUUAUAGCAAAUAAUUGAAGGUAUAGGUCGAGGUUUUCAUUAAAGAAACAAUAGGCUCUCUAAUUCUAUAGAUCAAUUAUUGACCACUCGAGGAUUUACAUUAUAUUUCAUGCAUGUAUAUUUGUUAGAAGUAAACUGUUUUUUCUUGUUUUCAUUUCUAGUAAGAAAUUCUUAGUCCUAGUUUUAUUUUUGUCUUAAAAGCUUACUUGAAUAGUUAAAAAGUUCAAUACUUAUCAAAAAAAUAUUUAUACUAAUAUUACACAAAAAAAAAUAUGUAAAAAUAUAUAGUUAAAAGUUCAAACUAAAAAUAGAUGCUUUGAGAUAUUUGAGUGCACAUUACUUUAAAUUUGAUGGGAAAUCUGUAAACCAGUAAUUCUCUAUCUGCAGGAUAAUUAAUUUGUGUGUGGAGUGGUUAGAUUUCGAAGUCAACAGUUUAGUCAAAGUGCUGUCAGAAAAAUUACAUGCGGGGGCUGUAAGAAAUAAUACAUUUACAUGGAUUACAAAAACAGUUUUUAAGAAGAAAAAAAAGUGGUUUACCAAAAAAAAAAAGUGACGCUUUCAAAUUAUUUAAAAUAGAAAAGUGUUUUAUGGGUUUAUACUUUAUAGAAUAUUACACACAUUAAGAUCUAAUAUUGUUGCAUCUAAUAAUAUUUAUACUUCAGAGAUUUCAAAAUGUAGUGUUAUUUAAUCAAUAUUUUAAAUAUUUCAUAAAAUCUAGUAUUGUUCAAAAGUAUAACAUUUAAUUAAUAUUUUGAUACAUAAAUCUAUCUUUACUAUACUAUAAAUCUAGUAGAUUAGUCCAACAUCCUUAUUAAACCACCUCUCAAUGAAAAAUUAAAAUAGACCAAAAAAUUACAUCAGAAAUAUUAAAUGAUGAAUAAUAUAAGCAACUUCUUAAUGAUACACAACACCAAUCCUAGUUUUUCUAAUUUUUGUAACUUUUUUUUUUAUUUGUUUCUACCAAACUUAUCCAAAUAUAAAUUGAUAGAAACUAACAGAUAACUAAACAAUGCCACAAAAAUCUUUAUCAACCAUUGGAUUACUAGGGUGUUGGAUUUAUAUAUUUAUUGGUUAUUUAUGUAUUAGAAAAUGCAAAGCAACAUUCAAUUGUAAGUUUGUAACAUGCAUCUAACACCAAUAUCUUUUACUAAACUUUUGUAAUCCCUUAAACACUUUAAAAUGCUAAUUCAAAUUAAAAAUACAUUACACGUGAUACAUAGUUUUAAAAACAGUAGACUUAUAGCUCAUUUUCGUAACGCAUAUAUAUAUUAAAAUUUACCAAAAUUUACCAUUUCGAGUAAGAGAAUCUUUUUAAAAAUAAUUUUCAAUUUCAUUAAUUAAGAAACAAUGAAUUUAAUGAAAUGUAUAUUUUAUUAAAUUCCCAUAAAGUAUAUAUAAUUAAAAUAAUGCCACGUAAAUCUUUCUCCGCCGUUCGAUAAUCAAAUACUUUCUUGAUUAAAAAUGUAUUCAGAAAAUGUUAAACCAACAUUUAUCUAUAAACAAAGAGAGCCUCAUAUGUGUAAAAAUCUUCUUCUUAUCUUUCUUUCUUUCUUAAUAGAGUCUUUAAUUUUUACUCAAUUAGCUUUGGUAAUUUGUGAAAAAAACAACCAAUGAGAGAAGAGCAGUUUGACUGGCCACAUAGCCAAUGAAAUUAGCCAAUGGGAAAGAGAUAUAGAGACCUCGUAAGAACCGCCUCCUUUGCCAUUUGUAUCAUCUCUCUAUAAAACCACUCAACCAUCAACCUUUCUUUACAUGCAACAAAUCACUCAAAUAAUUAUUUUAUAAAGAACAAAAAAAAAAAGACGGCAGGGAAACAAUGGAACGUGGAGCUUCCUUCUCUCACUAUCAGCUACCCAAAUCCAUCUCUGUUAAUCUAAGUGGCUAUUUAUAUACUUGCCUCCAUGUAUAUUUAUAUGCUCAUGAAAAAUUGGAGACUUGCUUUUUGAUUUUUAUGAGUCUUUUCAACAAAGAAGUAGAGGCUUUCUUUCUCGAAAAUUAAUUUUAGAAUUUGUGAAGGUUUUGGGAAUGGCUCUGAAAAGACGAUUUUAUACAUGCAUGCAAGAGUUUGAUAUGUGUAUUGUCUCAUCAUGACUGAGUCAAAGUUUGAUUCAAAUAUUUCCAUGGUGUGGUAGAAAUUAAACAAAUCUUUCAUAUGUGUUCAUUGAAUAUUCCCGUGCAUGCACGAGGAAUGUUUUUGAGUAUCAAUUUUUUUGUUUUAUUUUUUUUUGUUUUUCGAUUCUAAAAACGUAGGGGAGGGGAUUUUAUUGGUUUUCUCUAUGAGUUUUCUCGUUGUAACGGUUGAGUUUUUUUUUUUUCCGUUUCAAAAUGAGAUUCUCGUUUCUCUGCCUUUAUCUAAAAGCAUCUACAGUAAAUUAAAAGACACUAAAAAACAAAAAAUUAAAAGACACUGAAAUUUUUUUAUACUUAAUAAACAUUUAAGUAUAUAUAAACAGUCUUACUAGUCCCAAGUUUUACAAUUCAAAAUUUAUUAGUAAUUGUUUUUUGGAAAAAAUCUAAGUGAAUUUUUGUCCAAAAUUUUCCUUUUACUGUGUUUAUUCUAGUGGGUGUCAUUAACUUUAAUCUUGUGAUUCUUUUAACGUUUACCAUUGGGAACCUUCACAUGAAAUAAAUGUCUACUUUAUCGAGUCAUACCUUCUUCUCCGUAAAUUAAUUGAUGUUCUUCUUCAAAAUUUGAGUUUCUGUUUUUUGUAAUAAACUAAACGAAAGAAUUUGGGAAUACGUGUUUAUACAAUUAUACUUUUAAAGUUAUAUUUAUGUCAAAAUUUAAGUAUUUCGAGAAGAGGAAAGAUCCUUUUGACAUUUUUGUUCUAUAGUUAUUACUUAUUAGAAACGUAACGGCAAGAAUCUGAACAGUACCUACUCAACGGGGUCCAUAAGUCUAGUCAACAAAUGUAGUUGACUAUGUCCAGGCCAAAAACGUACGGUUAUUAUUAACCAUAGUUAAUAGUUAAAAGUUAACCAUGGUUCGGUUAACAUUAAACCCUUUUUCCUCUUUUAACAAACCCCAAAACCUUUCUUCAGAUUUUCUCUCUGCUUUUCACAAUCGUCGUCUCAAUUUUUUCCUGCAAAAUUCCGAUCGCCAUGGAUGAUGGAGCUGUUGAGAUACGUGAAGAGCAACGUCGAUUGAUCGUGGCCCAGCAGCAACCACCAUGUAUGGCUCGUGAACAAGACCAGUACAUGCCAAUCGCAAACGUCAUAAGAAUCAUGCGUAAAAUCUUACCGUCGCACGCUAAAAUCUCUGACGACGCCAAAGAAACGAUUCAAGAAUGUGUCUCCGAGUACAUAAGCUUCGUGACCGGUGAAGCCAACGAGCGUUGCCAACGUGAGCAACGUAAGACCAUAACUGCUGAAGAUAUCCUUUGGGCUAUGAGCAAGCUUGGGUUCGAUAACUACGUGGAUCCCCUCACCGUGUUUAUUAACCGGUACCGUGAGAUAGAGACCGAUCGUGGGUCGGCACUUAGAGGUGAGCCACCGUCGUUGAGACAGGCCUAUGGAGGAAAUGGUAUUGGGUUUCACGGCCCACCACAUGGCCCAUCUCAUGGCCUACCUCCUCCUGGUCCUUAUGGUUAUGGUAUGUUGGACCAAUCCAUGGUUAUGGGAGAUGGUCGGUUCUACCAAAACGGGUCGUCGGGUCAGGACGAAUCAAGUGCUGGUGGUGGCUAUUCGUCUUCCAUUAACGGAAUGCCGGCGUAUGACCAAUAUGGUCAGUAUAAGUGAAGAUGGAAUUAUUCUUCAUUUUUAUGUAUAUCGAUUCAAAACAUGUGUUUGAAUAGAUAUUUUAUCUUUGUAUUAUCAAUAACAUUUCUAUAUAUAAUGUUGCUCCUUUUAAGGAAAAGUGUUGAGUUUCAAUACUUUUCGAGAACUGAUUUAUAUAUGCAAAUGAAAAAGUGUUUUUGGAUGAAACUCUAUGCAAUAUUACAUGAUCUAAAGGUUUUUGUAAUUUUAAAGCUGCUAUAGUUAGAAGAUAACUAAACAUUAUAGGAACCAAGUUUGCUUUUUUUUAUAUAGUUAGAAGAUUUAUAUAUGCAAACAAAAAGGGUUAUAAAAUCAAAAUUCAAAAUGAAGCAAGUGGUCCAAAUGCAUUGACCACAUAAACACUUUAAUAACCAAAAUAUAGGAUUUUUGUAAGACUCUCAAGUCUGACGCACAACAGUUUAUGUUAUUUAUAGAGUUGACUGUACCAUUAAAGAUUUCAAAAAAAUUAGAUCUUUAUUAGGUUCAUUUGUUGUUACACUCCUCCUUCUAUAUAAUAAUAACCUCCACUCCUCUCUAUGAGCAGCAAUGUGAAAGAUAUGGCCCAAGUGAAGUCAAACCCAACAAAUGAGCCUAGUCAACAACCACAACACAAAAAGACAAAGACCAGAAAAGUUUCACCGGCUGAGAGUAUCUCCAACAGUAAUGUCUUGAGGAAUAUCUUAAGAUUAAAAAAAUAAAAAAUAAUAAAAAAGUAGGAGAGAGUGUAGACACAGUUUCUGGUUUGAGAAACUUUGAGAAACUGUGUCUCCACUUGUCAUUUUAUUAUUGGUCAAAUUCUUUUUUUAUAAUUUAUAAUUUAAAUAAAUAAUUUAUUUAUUAUAAAUUGAUUAAAAUAAUAUUUUUGAUACACCCACACAGUGUCACAUAAACUCCCCUCUGAUCGCGGAAGCUGUGGCGGCCCUUCUCGCGUUGCAACACGCCCGAAACCUUGGUUUCACAUAGCUCUCUCUUGCUUCUGACUCGUCUCAACUCGUCAAAGCACUUCAAUCGGAGCUUCAAGUAAAGGAACUCCACGGGAUUCAAUUCGACAUCCUUGAUCUAUGUUUAAGUUUCUCUGCAAUUUCUUUUCGCUUUAUCCCACGAUCUCAAAACACUGUAGCGGAUUCGUUGGCCAAGGAGGCCUUACUCUCCUUUGUACUGGGCCUGGCCCAACUCUAGUUUUCAAUUGAAUCAUCCAUCCUUUGCACAAAAAAAAAAAUUUGUAAGCGUUAUGAUUGCAUUGGAGAGGUUUACUUGUCCGUUCAUUUUUUGAAUUCAAAUAAUGGGAGUUCAAACACUUAGAAAUAUCAGCAUUACUAUAUAUAUACUACUAGUAUUCAUUUGUUUAACAUAUAUGGAUGGUCGAUUAUUUUUUUGUUAAUCAACGCCGAAGGGUAAAGAGCUCAUGUUUUUUUCGUGAUGUAGCCUAAAGAUUAAUAUAAGUUUAUUGCAAAAAAAAAAAAUGAAAAAUCACUUCUAUUAAUUUUGUUAACAUGCAAGGUCAAAUUACUUUUCACUCUCUAUCUCAUUUCUCGUCAUGCAUAUAUGUUCGCAAGAAUCUCCAAUGUUGAUAUAUUCACCUAUCUCAACUCAUAUUUACGUAAUGUAAUUUCUUGUAAUUUGCCAGUUCAUCUCUACUCGAAAAUGCCCAAUCCUAAUAACAUAGAGGUGUGCUGAAAAAUAAUGGGAGAAUUAGCCUCAUAAUAUUUUGCGUAAGAGUAACUUGGAAGACGUACAUUGACCAAGGUAUUAUGAUUUUUGUCAGUUAAUGGCACCCCAUUGGACCAACAAAUUAAGCAAUCCCCGCAUUCCUUUAAUUUAAUCGUAACAAUAUGUAUUAAACUAAAUAUACAUGCACAACAAUUAAUUUCAAAUACAUUAAAAAAACGCACAAGUCAUAACAAUGAUUAUUCGAGUUUAUUACUCCAUAUGCGACUAUGAACAUUUUAAUAAACUUCGACAUCAAAGAAGCUGAGACAUGCAUGCCGAAACAAGCAUUCCUCUUCUGACUUCUCUCGUCCACAAUUUUUUUUUAUUUUUUGAAUACUAAGGUGUUAAAUUAUUAUAUCUAAUUAAUUAUAGCAAAUAAUUGAAGGUAUAGGUCGAGGUUUUCAUUAAAGAAACAAUAGGCUCUCUAAUUCUAUAGAUCAAUUAUUGACCACUCGAGGAUUUACAUUAUAUUUCAUGCAUGUAUAUUUGUUAGAAGUAAACUGUUUUUUCUUGUUUUCAUUUCUAGUAAGAAAUUCUUAGUCCUAGUUUUAUUUUUGUCUUAAAAGCUUACUUGAAUAGUUAAAAAGUUCAAUACUUAUCAAAAAAAUAUUUAUACUAAUAUUUAACAAAAAAAAAUAUGUAAAAAUAUAUAGUUAAAAGUUCAAACUAAAAAUAGAUGCUUUGAAAUAUUUGAGUGCACAUUACUUUAAAUUUGAUGGGAAAUCUGUAAACCAGUAAUUCUCUAUCUGCAGGAUAAUUAAUUUGUGUGUGCAGUGGUUAGAUUUCGAAGUCAACAGUUUAGUCAAAGUGCUGUCAGAAAAAUUACAUGCGGAGGCUGUAAGAAAUAAUACAUUUACAUGGAUUACAAAAACAGUUUUUAAGAAGAAAAAAAAGUGGUUUACCAAAAAAAAAAAGUGACGCUUUCAAAUUAUUUAAAAUAGAAAAGUGUUUUAUGGGUUUAUACUUUAUAGAAUAUUACACACAUUAAGAUCUAAUAUUGUUGCAUCUAAUAAUAUUUAUACUUCAGAGAUUUCAAAAUGUAGUGUUAUUUAAUCAAUAUUUUAAAUAUUUCAUAAAAUCUAGUAUUGUUCAAAAGUAUAACAUUUAAUUAAUAUUUUGAUACAUAAAUCUAUCUUUACUAUACUAUAAAUCAAUAUUUUAAUGAAAGUUGCGGAUCUAAUCUGCCCUGUUUCAAAGUGCUGGGACAGAGAGAAAUUAAGCCUUUAUCUUCCGCAAUAUGAGAAAGAUAUCCUUCUACUCCGACCUAGUAAGCUAGGAGCAACAGAUCAUUAUGUAUGGCUUCCCACAAAGAAUGGAGACUAUAGCGCAAAAACUGGGUAUCAUGCGGCUGCUUCCUUGCCCUCCCAAGCCUCCAGCUCUCCUUCCCAACCUAUAGUCUUCAACUGGAAUAAGCACAUCUGGAAUACAUACUGCUCCCCUAAAAUCAAGUUCCUCCUUUGGAAAGCAAUGAAGAAUGCCCUCCCUGUGGGAUCAACUCUAAAGGCCAGGGGUAUUAACCCUACAACGUCUUGUCCUCAUUGUGGUGAGGAUGAAUCUUGUCUUCACUUGUUUUUCACCUGCCCUUUUGCUUCACAGAUCUGGGACCAAGCUCCUUUCAAGAACACCUUAUCGACGGCACGAUUAACCAGCCUCAAACUAGGGAUCGAAGCUGCAAAUCAUCUCACUUGUCUCCUACCAGUUGGAAUUGACAAAGGACUCCUAUUCCCUUGGAUUAUGUGGUCGAUUUGGACCUGCAGAAACAAAAAGAUCUUUGAACAGAAACAGCAAUCAAGCGAGGAUGUUAUCUCUCAAGCCAUUGUCUUGGCAAAGGAAUGGAUUGGGGCUCAGAUUCAUCCUUCUAGCCAGACCCCGAAGCCGUUCAUUUCUUCGGUACCGACGACCGGACUUGAUACGAUCAGAUGUUCUACAAAUGCGGCUUGGCGUGAAGACACCCGAGAUGCAGGAUUCGGCUGGAUUUUCUCUGAUCCUCUGCGACAAACGGAGAUCCAGGACAGAGCAGUGGCGAGCAACGUUUCCUCCCCUCUAAUGGCGGAGGCUUCAGCGGUUCUCCUGGCCACCCAAUCUGCUUCCGCUCUCGGAUUCUCAAUUCUUCUCUUCGCUUCAGACUCACAACAGUUAGUCAAAGCGCUCAACGGGGAGCUCCAAUUUUCGGAACUCCAUGGGAUUCUACAUGAUAUCCUCACCAUCUCUCUCACCUUUGCUGAAGUUCGUUUCGUUUAUGUUAGGAGAGAAAACAAUAGGAAAGCUGAUGAUUUAGCUAAAUCUGCUUUAAAUUCAAUUUCCCCUGUAUCUGUACCGGUUUUUACUUAAUGCAAACCAACCAUCUUUGACAAAAAAAAAAAAGUCACUCUUCGUUUUGCACAAAAAAAAAAAAAAAAAAAAAGACACUCUUCUUUGAAUUUCUUUUAAAGAGAAUAACCUUUGUCUUUUUCUUUGUUCAACUAAAAGAGAAUAACCUACACGUUGAAUUAUUUUGUUACAGGUAAUUAUUUUGUCUAGUGGUUUAUUUGAAGCUAAUUAGAAUUUUCUUACCGAAUAUAUGUACUAGACUACUAGUGCUGUAUGUAUAUUUUAAACGUUUUGGAAUAAGCCUUGUAUAGAAAAUAUGUAUCAAACACUUUAUUUUAGUUUACAAAUACGAAUUUCGUAAUUAUUUUGGAUGAAUAUAUUGGAAAAUUUUGCUCGCUUGUUUGGAUUAUAUUGAGGCGAAGGGAGACCAAUCCAGCAAGAAACCAUGUGAUCAGUGGCGUAUAGUUUUAUAGAUAUAUAAGAAAACGAAAGGAUAAGGAUAUAUAAAAUUAGAUAUAAAUCCCAAAUGAUAUCCUCUAUAGAUGGUGAUCGAUAAAGACACAUGGGCUUCUUCAACUUUUCUUUUAUGCGACGAAACAUGUAUGCAUCGGAUGUGUUCCUGUCGUAACCAAAAUAAUUUUAUUUUGUAGUACUAGUUAUAUAAAAAUAUCCUUAACUAUUUCUUAUCUUAUCCAUAUCCCAUAAAAAGAAAACUGAGUAACACAUUGCUGUCACCUAGAAUUCAAAAUUUUGAAGUAACCAAAAAAAAAAAAAUUCAAAUUUGCCUUUUCUAGUUAACCAAUUCAAAACGAAACAUUGAGAUCGACGCCUAUUCGGACUCGAUGUUUUGAUCAGUGUUCUAAAAAGCGGUCUAGGCGGUCGCCUAGGCCCCGACUAGGCGCUAGGCUCUUAUGCGACGCCUAGAUAACCGCCUUGACCGCCUAAAAUUACACAGAUCUUGUUUAAUGUAUUUUUUCAAUUUUAAUUAGAGUUUUAUUUAUAUAUAUAGUUAUAAAUAUUCAUAUAUUGUUUAAUAUAAAUAUAAAUAAAUGUUUUAUCUAAUUUUUGUUUAUAAUUUCAUAAUUUUUAGUUUUAUAUAGAUAUUUUAUAUAACUUUUAUAUAUAAUAUCAUAUUUAUAAUAUUUUAUGUUAUAAACGUCUAAACCGCCUAAAAAAUCGCCUAGGCCCCGAUUAGGCGUUCUAGGCGCUAGGCAUUGGGUCACCGCCCGCUUAGCGCCUAGCGCUUUCUUGAACACUGGUUUUGAUACAUAAAAUUACUAAAACUGUAGAUUACAUUUUUUUUUUUUUUUGGUUCAAAACAUUACAUAAUAUUUGAAAAGUCAUAUAAACAUCCAUAACAUAUUAUGUCAGCUUCUAAUUUAUUCAAACAAAACAUAGAAACAUGUUUCUAUUUCCAAACUGAAUACUGUUUCAUGUAUUUAUUCUUGGAAAUAAAUAAACUGCUAACUCUCAAUAUUGCAAAAGAAUUGGAACUUCUAGACAAAUAGUAAAAGAAUUUAGCUAAAAUAGUUAUUAAAAAAAAUCAGGAAUAAAAAAAAUAGAAUUAUUGCAUCUAAAACAGCAGAGACCAUAAAUAAGUUGUAUUAAUGAAAUUGAUAUUUUCUGGAUCACGACAUUGGAUGUUUGUUUAAAACAAUAAUUUUGGGAAAUCGCAAAGGGUUAUAGCGCCGAACAAAGAAUCUUCUUCAUGCUUCUCCCAAAUUUUUUGUUUUUUUUCUUGGGCAACCAAAAUUAUUAUAGUAAUCCGAAUAAACAACUUACUAUUGAUGACCGGUUAAUCGAUAUCGAAACUAUUAUUAAUAGAAAUCGGGUCUUUAUGACAUUUAUUUACGGUGACCCUGUUGUUUCAAACCGCGAAUAUGUGUGGGAAAGAUUAAUGCGUAUCGGAGUCGCAAGAUCCGAGGCUUGGUUUAUCAUUGGCGAUUUUAAUGAGAUAACAGGGAAUCAUGAGAAAAGAGGAGGGAAAAAACGUUCGGAAGCCUCCUUUCUACCAUUUCGUGCUAUGAUACAUUCAUGUGGUCUUAUUGAUUUCUCCUAUCAUGGAAAUCAAUAUUCAUGGAUUGGUCAACGGUCUAAUGGUAAGAUACGAUUUCGGCUUGAUAGAGCCAUGGGGAAUGAAGAAUGGCACAAUAUCUUUUCCCACACCAAUGUGGAGUACUUAAAGAUGUGGGGGUCGGACCAUAGACCAUUACUUGCAUCUAUUCAAUCUAAACCGAAAAAAAUUUCGAGAAUAUUUAUGUUUGACAAACGAUGGAUAGGGAAACCCGGGCUUACAGAAGCAGUGCUGGAAGGUUGGAACGGUGAAGGGCUACGGGAAGAUCGACCCAUAAUGAAGAAAAUUCAAAAUUGCAAAAGAGUAAUCUCCAUUUGGAAGAAAUCAACCCGAACAAAUUCGGAGACCCUAAUUAAAGAACUCCAUGAUAAGAUUGAGGCAAAUUAUGCUGAUGAUGAAACUUCUCUAGAAUCGCUUCGUGAUCUUAAAAAACAAUUGGGAGAGGCUUACACAGAAGAAGAAAUUUAUUGGUACCAAAAGAGUCGCCAAAAUUGGCUGGCAUUAGGAGACAAAAACACAAAAUACUUCCAUGCUUUAACAAAACAAAGAAGGGCAAAGAAUAAAAUCCUAGGCAUUCUAGAUGACAAUGGCGCAUGGGUGGAUAAUGAAGAAGGAAUCGAGAGAGUCGCUGUGGAUUAUUUUCACAAUCUCUUCUCCUCCUCGAACGAGGUAGAUCCCACGGUAGUACUUAAUGAUAUAUCCCCUUCAGUCUCUCCGGCUAUGAACGAGUUUUUGGUCAAAGAAGUUACUGAAGAUGAGGUUAAGCUGGCCCUAUUCUCCCUAAAUCCGACGAAGGCCCCGGGGCCGGAUGGGAUGACGGCAUUAUUUUUUCAACGUUUAUGGGAAAUUAUAAAAGGCGAUCUCACUAAAAUGGUGAAGAAUUUCUUAAGCUCCGGUAUUUUUGAUGGGAAACUAAAUGAGACUAAUAUUUGUCUAAUACCAAAAGGAGAGAGAUCGAGGGUAAUGUCGGGUUUUCGGCCUAUUAGCUUAUGCAAUGUAAGCUAUAAGGUAAUCUCGAAGAUUUUGAGCUUGCGUCUUAAAAAAUUCCUUCCGGAUCUGAUAUCCGAGACACAAUCUGCGUUUGUUGCGGGCAGACUAAUCACUGACAACAUCCUAAUCGCUCAGGAGAAUUUCCAUGCUCUACGCUCUAACCCGACAAACCGAAAAAAGUUUAUGGCGCUAAAAACGGACAUGAGCAAAGCAUACGACCGAGUAGAAUGGACGUUUCUUCGAGCCCUUAUGGAAAAGAUGGGGUUCGACCCCAAAUGGGUCAAUUGGAUAAUGCAAUGUAUCACCUCCGUCUCAUAUCGUGUCCUGAUUAAUGGGGAACCCAAAGGUCGUAUUCGACCAUCACGUGGAAUUCGUCAAGGAGACCCCAUUUCUCCGUACUUAUUUAUACUCUGUACGAAAGCACUUAUAGCUCUGAUUAAAAAGGCCGAGAGGGAAGGGAAAGUCCAAGGUCUCCGGAUUUCUUUUGCAAGCCCUCGAGUAUCUCAUCUUUUGUUUGCAGAUGACAGUUUGUUUUUCUGCCAAGCCAAUGCCCAACAGAGUAAAGAGGUUAUCGAUAUUAUCCGCUCUUAUGGCCGGGCGUCGGGUCAAGAGAUUAAUCUCACCAAAUCUUCCAUUAUGUUUGGUAAUGAGGUCCCAACUCCCCUAAGACAAGAAAUGAAAUCAAUCCUCGGGAUUUCGCGGGAAGGAGGGAUGGGGACAUAUUUAGGGUUUCCAGAAAAGAUCCAUGGCUCCAAGGCCCAAGUCUUUGCGUUUGUAAGAGAUAGACUACAAACACGAGUUAAUUCAUGGUCCUUUCAAUUCCUCUCUAAAGGCGGUAAAGAGGUCCUAAUUAAGUCUCAGGCACAAGCUCUUCCGACAUAUGUCAUGUCGUGUUUUCUAUUGCCAAAAGCAAUAUGUUCCAAACUUAAUUCUGCAAUUGCCAGAUUCUGGUGGAGUAAUAAAGUGGAUAGUAAGGGAAUCCACUGGAUUGCAUGGGAUCAAAUUUGUACACAACUUUCGGAUGGUGGCCUUGGUUUUAGGAACCUGGAAGACUUUAAUCUCACACUUUUAGCGAAGCAAUUAUGGAGAUUGCUAAGAUUUCCGGAAUCACUCCUUAUUCGGGUUCUUAAAGGACGGUACUUCCGGUAUAAUAGCCCAUUAGAGAUUACUGUCUCUAACCGGCCAUCGUACGGGUGGCGAAGUAUGUUGGCCGCCAAAGAUGUCCUUAAAUAUGGAAUCCGCAAGACUAUUGGAUCUGGGUUUGAGACUUGCAUUUGGACCGAUCCUUGGAUUCCAGACGACCCGGCUCGUCCCCCGAAGGGAUUGAAUAUAGAGUGGGACCCAUUAGUCUACGUCAACACCUUAAUAGACUUUGGUACAAAACAAUGGAAAAUUGAGCGGCUCCGGGAAUUAUUUCCUCCGGAUGAGAUUACCCUCAUUCUAGGGAUAAAACCGAGCCUUAACGUCUCGAGGGAUGGAUAUAGCUGGACCAUGACGAAGUCGGGCAAUUAUUCCGUCAAAUCUGGAUAUGAGGCCGCGAGAACCAUUUCUCGCCCUGUUUGCGACCACCCUUUUCAGGGACCUAGUGUUACGGCACUUAAGGCGCAAGCUUGGAAAUUAAAAACUACGCGAAAACUAAAACAUUUCGUGUGGCAAUGUGUGUCAGGUUGUUUGGCCUCCUGCCAACGACUAUUUUAUCGCCAUAUUGGUAGAGAUAAAGGAUGUCCUAGAUGUGGUGCAGAAGAAGAGACGAUUAAUCACUUGAUCUUUGAAUGCCCUCCAGCUAGACAAGUCUGGGCCCUUUCUAAUAUUCCUUCAUCUCCUGCCCUAUUUCCAUCAUCUUCGUUGUACAAUAACCUAGAUUAUUUGUAUUGGCGGGGUAAGGAGGUAGGUGCAAAUGAAGAGAGCCUAAGGGCUUUUCCAUGGAUCAUGUGGUACAUUUGGAAGGCGCGAAAUCGAAAGAUCUUUGAUAAUUUGAGCGAACCGCCCCAGGAAACCUUGAACAAAGCAACUCAGGAGGAAGAGGAGUGGAGACGGGCAAACCAGAGAGAGGACCCCCAACCUGUGAGGAAUUCGACGGUUCAGGUGACGCCACCUCCAGACGAUAGACCGGUGUGCUUUAUUGACGGGUCUUGGCAUAGAGAUACAUCUAGGAGUUUGCUGCUCGUUGGUAGUGGAAUGCUGACUAACCGUCUCCGUCCCCCUAUGAUGAGAAAAAGCUGUCCGCAGCCGUUAGUGCAAGGGCUCGAUAUUCCGUUUCCGUAGAAGAACGAGACACUGUGGGCUGGCGUUUUGCGGACCAGGAGAUAAUAUUGCAUCCGAGAAACGUACAGAAUCCAGUUGUAGACCUCCUCGUGGAUGUACAUCCUGCCCAGUCACUAUCACAGAAGGCCUGAACAUUGAGCUUGCUGUUUUUGUGAAUAUACAGCCCAUGAAAGAUGGUGCCUUUAACAUAGCGAAGGACACGCUUCAGGAGAUCAAAAUCAGCGAGUGUAGAUCUUUUCGGAAAGGAGGAGUAGGAUGAGUCAGCUUAUUCUAUAGAUACUGUAAAAGCCAACUCAUGUUUCCACUCAAUUUUCAUUACGAAGAUGUAUCACGUCAAGAUCCGUUGCUCAAACCGAAUCACGCCAACGUUAUGGAAGUUCCUGGAUCGUGUGAAAUAAGAGUAGUACCAAAGGCACCCUAUAAUUUCAUAAUAAAAAAUGGAAAAUUGGCUAUGGAGAUUCCGCGCGGUCAGAAAUUCAUACAGACACAAAGGGGUUCGACAGGAAAGUCCUUUCGAUCUAAUCCAUUCUUGGGGUCAAAUAAAGACAAAGGAUAUGGGUGUAUCGUUACGUGUGGAGGAAGAUUGUUGCACCUAGGACUCAAGGGCUCACGCAGAAGCCUCUCCCCUCUGCAUGCGGAAUUGGAGACACUAUUAUGGGCGAUGAAGUGUUUACUUGCGGUUCAGAUUAAUACUAUCAUCAUUCUUACGGAUUGCACAGAUCUUAUUGAGAUGACUUCAAGUCCUGAGGAGUGGCCUACUUUUUCUACAGAGAUGAGGGAUUUUGUGCAUUAUAGAGACUUAUUUUCUAUGUUUAGUAUUAAGUAUAUCCCUCGUAGUGGUAAUACCUCCGCCGAUCAUCUUGCAAAAUGUGAAAGAAUACGCAGGUUUUGCUUUUCCCAUGUAAGUUCGACGGUAUCCGAUUGGCUCUCUCUAGAAGAGAGUUCUUAUCCGUGAAUUAAUAUAUGGAGUUUGAUCGUAAAAAAAAAAAAAAAAAAACAACUUACUAUUUCAUUGUUUAAUAUUCUGAAGGGAAUCGAUAUUGUCAGUGAUCCAGAUCAAGAAUCAUAAUAUCAAUCAAAAUCACUUGUUCCCAAAGAUUCGAUCAAAACCAAAACAAAACAAAACUAAAAAAACUCCAUUUCAAGCCGUUGAUUUACAACAAAAGUAAAACCACCAGCUUCUUCAACUAUUUACAGUUUGUUACAUUAGUAAAAAGAUAGAAAAUUACUCUCAGUGCCACAAACCUCUGAAACAAGCUACCAUUUUUUUUAGCUCAAUCAGGGUUACAGAGAAGACCGGUAAAACCCCAAAAAAACAAGAAAAGAUUUUUACAUUUUUUUUCUUUUCAACUUUGACAAAAUUUACCAUCCAUUUGAUUCUGAACGGCUCUCACAGCAGCCACUCUUGCAGCCGUAGCAGCCUUAUUAGCUGCAGCCACGGCUCGGCUCACCUGCUCAUCUACUCGUCUCCGAUUCACUGCCUUAUUCGCUGUUUCUCGAGCCGCCUGUAAUAUUUUCAAGUUAAAGUUUUUCACUUUUUGUCAGUUCCAACAACUGAGUCAACUCUGGUCUAACAAAAAAAAUUACCUGAACCGCUCUUGAAACUGGCUCACUCGCAAGAGGAAGAGAAGUUACAAGCUUCCCUGAAUCCCAUUCACCAGAUUUAGCAUCACCAGUUCUAAACGAGUAAGCACCAAACCCUUGCUUACGACCUUCAUGCCAUGCUCCUUCAUAACAAUGACCAUUAGCAAAUCGAUACACACCAAACCCAUGAAUCUUGUCUCCAAAAUACUCUCCUGCAUACUUAUCUCCAUUUCUGACAAAAACACAAAGAUUGUGUCUUUUAAAAUCAGAUUACAUAAAAAAAUAAAAAAAAACUUUAAAUCAAGAUUCAAGACAGAUAUGUAUACCUGAAAUGGUAAGAACCAAGACCAUGUUUAACACCAAAUCUAGACUCACCAACAUAAGAGCUUCCAUCAGCACAAGAUUGACCACCAAAACCAUGGCUUUGACCAUUAAACCAUUCACCAGCAUAACAAUCACCAGUGUAGAAUCUAUAAACUCCAUUACCAUGUCUAAGACCUUGUCUAUAUUGACCUUUAUAUCUACUUCCUCUAGCCCAACUCUCAAUCCCAUGACCAUCAUAUCUCCCAUCUAUCCAAUCUCCUUCAUAUCUUCCUCUCACGAAAUAGUAAUACACACCACUUCCGUUACACUUCCCUUUGUGAAAUUCACCUUAGUAGAAAUCUCCAUUACUGUAGAAUUGAACUCCUUCUUUAACGAACCGCUUUAUGAUCUUCUUCUCCGGUUUAGUAUCGUCUCCGAUGUACCAUUGUACCGGUUUUGAUUUUGAGUUUCUGCUCUGAAAACCGAAGUUUUUAGUGGUUUCGUCGCAGAUUUGUUUGAUUGCGAUUACGGUUUGGUUAAGAAGAGCGAUGUUCUUGGAGGCGAAGAAGAAGAUGGAUUGAGGAAGAUUAAAGCUAGUAAAAGAUUUUCCGGUGUGAGAAUCUCAUCGGUUUGUGAGAAGACGACGAAGAAGAAGAACGAUGAGAGACUGAGGAAAGAGAGAGACACCAUUGUGAAUGCUAAACCGGGGUUAAUCCGAGUUAAACCGGAUUUAGGACUUGAUGAACCGAAUGGUUUAGGUGGUUUUCUUCUCUGCUUCUCUUCUUUCUCUCCGGCUUCUAGAUCUUGUUCGCCUUCGACGAUUGAAGAUAAGCUUUGAAAUGACGAACGAAGAUUCGACGAUGACCGGAGCAACGACGACUGUGUCCUCGUUAGCUUCGCCUGUUUUUCCAUUUCUUCUCAAAAACUUCGAAAACUAUCAAAACCGGAAAACAGAGUCUUCGAUCACGGAAGUGAGAUUCCGGUUAUAACCGAUUUCUCCGGCGAGAGUACACUAACCGCUGCUUCACCACCGUAACUAGCAUCACGCACGACUUCGACAAAGAAAGAGAGAGAGGGAGAGAUUUGUAAUUAUUGUAACAGUGACUAUUCGCUUUCUCUUUUGUUAAUUUUCCGGUACCGGAGAAAUUUUAACGGCGAAGCUCACUUAAAGAGAGAAUGAGAGAGAGAAUCGAGAGAAGAGAAAUUAGACCGGGUUUGGGUUUAAUUUAAAGAGAGAAAGUGAUAACAUUGGAUUUAAUAAGGACCGUUAGAUUAAAAUCAGACGGUUGAUUAAGUGAAUCGAAGAAGGAGAGCCGUUGGAUGGAGAGGAAGAGAGGGGUGACCGGUGAUGACGGUAAUAUGUAUAUUGGUCGACGGAUCCAAACAUGAACGGUUUUUUAGCUUUACUGUUGCAAAGCUGGCACGUGCCACUAUAUUACACAGUCAGAGAUUAAUUAAUUUACUUUUUUUUUUUUUCCUUUUUUUGGGACAAUGACAUAAGUCUUAUUACUAAAUUGAUUUACAAGAAAUCACCAAAAAAAAAAUUGAUUUACAGAAAAAAUCUCUGUUUUUUUGCAGAGUUUCUAUUUUUUUUUUGGCAGUUUAAUACGUGUAUUUUUAAAUUUGGAAUAAAAAUACCUUAUUUAAUUUCGAUUGCCUUUUAAAACUAUCGUUUCUUAAACUCGGUAAUUUCAUUUCAUAUUUUAACUUGAAUNNNNNNNNNNNNNNNNNNNNNNNNNNNNNNNNNNNNNNNNNNNNNNNNNNNNNNNNNNNNNNNNNNNNNNNNNNNNNNNNNNNNNNNNNNNNNNNNNNNNUUUCCACCUUAUUUGGGAAGACGGCAGGUGCAGCUCCUAUGUGGUAUAACAAUGAUAUGCGAAUCUCAAAUCCGAUGACAUUCUUAAAAAUGAUUUGUUGAUUCUUUGGACAUUGGAGAUCUGAGAAGAUGAAGUGAAGAACAAAAAAAAAAAAAAAAAAAGGAAAAACAAGUUCAAGACUCGAAACCCAGUUCGGGUGGUUUUCCAAAAGAAACACGCUACCACCAAGCCACAUUAACUAUCGCUACAAAUAUUGCAGACAGAUUGUAUAUAUAUAUAUAUAAAGACGCGGGGUUAAAAUUUAACGCCGUUAAAUAAUUCCGUUACGCCAAGUAACGACUGUUAAGUUUCGGGUUCGAAAUUACCGAGUUUUAAAAAACGAUAGUUUUAAAAGGCAAUCGAAAUUAAAUGAGGUAUUUUUAUUCCAAAUUUAAAAACACACGUAUUAAACGGCAAAAAAAAAAAUAGAUGGCGGUUUUUUCGGGUUUUUUCCCUAUCAACAUUCAACAAGAACGUUAAAUUCAUUUUCUUUUUUGGUAAGAAAUCUGGUGGGUGAUCUGCCAGCAAGAUUGUUGAAACCGAUUAAUUACUAUACAUGGAAUUUGUUUUCAUUUUUCAAACAAAAUAUUUAUGGCCAAGAAAAAAAAAGAGAGGUUGGAUCUAAUCAAAUCGUGAAUAACCCAUUUAACCAAACAUCCUCGUUUGGUGCAGUCCAUGUUAUUAGCCUCCGAGAUUAGUUAUAUUUCAAACAACAUAACGUAACUAAAAUUACUUUAGACCUUCUUGUACUCGGGUACGGUUUUUUUGCCCAGGCCUAUAACAAUCUUUUUCUUACUAGUCAAAUCAUACAACAAUGGUAUAGUUGCCGUGAUAGUAGUUCCACUUGAUAAUUUUUUUAAUUCAUGACUACUUUAUUGCUAACAACGUUGGAUUAUAAAAUGGAUUAAACAGGAUAUUAUCAUUUAAGCAAACAUCUCUUUCAAUGAAAUCUAAAGUCAAAACUCUGUUUCAAUCACGUCCAUUUUAACUUUCGGUUUUCGAUAAGGGCAAUUCAAUGGUAACAGAGCCAUGCGUGGGCAUAGUCGUUAUCUUCGAAAUUAUCACAUUUUGGAAAGGUCAUAUUUUUUACCGAAAUUUACCUAGUUUAACCCAAAUUUUGGGAUUAAUAACUAGAUUAACAUCCAAUAAUUGUGGUUUACUAGAAUAACAUAAAAUUUGUGUAAAAAGACCAAUUACCCAUUUUAUUUAAUUUCUCCUAAAAUAAAAAAAAAAUUAAACAAAAUUAAAUUUAAAUUAAUUAAACAAUCUAAACGUGGAAGCCUCGUUGACUCAUAGGUUGACUAAGGGUUAAUUAAUGCUUAUACACCAAGAGGUAUGGGGUUCGAGUCCCAGAUACUGCGAUUUAUUUACCAAUUUGCAGAUUAAUGGAGACAAGUGUGCAGGAGAUCUCCAGCGAUGUACAAUUAUAGCCGUUCGCCAAGAUUCUACGUAGAGAAGGAAGUGUCGUCAGGUCGUGAAUCAUCGAAGGUGUCUAUCAAGAGCAUGAAGAAGGAAGUGUCGUAUGCGUGGAUCUAAUAAGGGUCGGAAGGAAUUGUCCGUUGUAGAAUUGUCUAUGUAACAGUUCUCAUAAUUUGCAAUAAAUAAUAAAUUCAGACGUCAAAAAAAAAAAACAAUCUAAACAAAUAUUUUUUUAACCCUAACCUAAUCUAUUGACUUCCACUCUUUUAUUUUCCAGCAAACAAAAAAAAAAAAGAAAAAACUUCUCGAUUCCUCUCAAAUCGAGUUCGUCUUCUCCAGCAAAGACACGAAGAUAAGGAAGUCGAGUUCGCGAUUCUUGGUACCGCCGAUUCGAACUGAGCAGCAACAUGCGCCGGUUCUCCUUGUUUGAAGAAUCCGCCGUCAAUUUGAGUGGUCGCGUCAAUGAUUGACUCUUCCCCUUCUCUGGAGGUUCUUCUAUUUCUCGGCGUCUUCGGCGCUUCCUUGUCGUCCCAUCAUCUCCGGCGAAUCCCCGAAAACCCUAAUCUUUGUUUGCCACCGCCGUUUGACUCUCCUUUUGUGUGUUGUUCGAUUGACUAUUCCUCUUUUCCGGUGGUCCACUAAUUUCCCGGCGUAAUCGGAAACUGAUAGUGAAGGAUUUGAUGUGAGUGGAUCGGAGGGUGAUGAUACAUUGUGGAUCUCUUGGUUUUGUAAUUUGAGAGGGAAUGAUUUCUUUUGUGAAUUCGAUGAAGAUUAUAUUCAAGAUUAUUUCAAUCUUUGUGGAUUAAGUGGUCAAGUUCCUUACUAUGAUUAUGCACUUGAUCUCAUUGGGUAGAGAAUGAGGGCUAAAAGAAGUUGAAAGAUGGAAUCUUGAAAGUAUCUCAUGAUGUUACAAGAACUUAUAAGAUUGAAAUAAUGACACUUGGGUCUUGUCUCCAAAAUGAUUUUCCCCAAUUAGUUGGAUUUUGUUUGAAUUGUUAGAUUAUUAUUUGAUUUCCUAAUUUCAUGUAAAACUCAUAAAAUUUUCAAUUGAAGGUUAACUUUAGAACAAUCAAUUCCAUCAAAGAUCCUAAGAAAUGGCCAUUAAAAUACACUCAAGGGACCAAGAUCUAAACUAAACUUGUCAAAGCAUCUAAUCAUGAUGAUUACGACACAAAAACUUAAACAUAGAGCACUGAAUGUAGGAUUUCAGUAAGAGAUCAUUGCCACACCUAAAUUUAGUUGGUUAAGUAAAGCCAAGCCAAUUUGAACAUUAGUAGAACAAAUCUGAAGUUCUUGGUAAUCAAACUUUGAUAAAUUAGGUUACCUUAUUAUGCAUUUUAUAACAAAAACCGUUAAUCAUAUAUCACGACAUAAGUAUUGUUUAAAACAAAUCAUCCAUCAGAUAAGAACAAAAAAACUGUCAUAAUAGGAAUUAAAAUUUAAAUAUGUCAAUGCAUAAAACAUAUCUGCUAUCACUAUAUAACAUAUUAUUAAUAAAACUGCUAUCAUACAACAUAUUUUUUGUAACAUAUUCGAAAUCUGUCGUAAUAUACAAAAAAUAUGUGAUAACAUAAAACAAUUCGGUUGCGACUAUAUGUCAUUCUAGAAAUUUAUAUUUUUAAAUAACAAAUCUGCUAUCACUCUCCAGAUUUUUGUUUUUAAAAAAAAAACUGUCAUAACAUAAAAUAAAUCUGUUAUCACAAAUAAAUCAAACUAGUUAUUUCUUUUUUUAUUAACAACUCUACAUUAUGGCAGAUUUCUAUCGAAAAAUAUAAGUCUGACGCCACUGAAAACAUAAAAUUUUCAUGCAUUUUAAUAAGAAAUAUUUACUCAGAUGUUAACCAAAAGUUCGAAUAUUACUAGAAUAUCAUACAUUUUCUAAAAAUUACUCAUAUGUUUUGAGCAUUUGUGUAAUUACAAUUAACACCCUUCAUUAGUUUUUUUUUAAUUAAUAAUUUUUAAUUCAUUUUUAAUAAAAAUAAUAAAUAAAAAUUUGAUUAUCCAUGUCAUUAAUCCACCUCACCAAUCUCACAUUCCUCAAACUCACGUUAUUUAUCCUCUUCUCCUUUUUGUCUCCAAAUCCAAGAAAAGCUUUUAGAUCAUUUCUCCUCUUCUCUUUUUUUUUUGUCUCCAAAUCCAAGAAAAGCUUUUAGAUCUAAUAAUCUGCAACUAACUUGGGUACAACAUUGACAUAGAUCUUCAAAUUGCAGGAUUGGGCUGGAUCUUCCUAGACCUCACAGCCACAACGCUUGCCAUAGGGUCCCAAAUCAAAAGCUUCGUCAGAUCUACUCGCAAAAAGUCAUCAAAAAUCAAAACCCAAAACAAAGAGAUCUAUGAAAUUCUACAUGAUUCGUUACAGGUUUGAGUUGAAAUUAAGAAUAGCUACUCUUUUACUUUGAUUUUACAUGUCUCUCGUUUAAUCUUCCUCUCAAUCGAUCUAUUUGGGGACAUUUCUACUUCUAUCUAUGUUUUGAUUCAUACGGUUUAGUCUUCCUCCUAUGUAUCCCUCAAACAUAUUUUUACGAAUCUUAAUUUGAUUGUUGUUAUUUGACCAAUAAAUUUCAUAUUGUCUUCUCCAAAAAAAUGUUGCUUUCCGAUCUGUAUUAUAAAUCAGCCGUAAAGUGAUGUAACUCAGCCGUAACGUGAUGUAACUCAGCCGUAACAUAUAAUUUACACAACAUUUCGUCUUCCCUGAAUGAUAACUCAGCCGUGACAUGUAAUUUACCGAACCUUUCGUCUUCCCUGAAGCAUAUAACUCACCCGUAACAUAUAAUUUACACCCAUCUAUCGUCUUCCCUGGAGAAUAUAACUCAGCCGUGACAUGUAAAUUUACCGAACCUUUCGUCUUCCCUUAAACAUAUAACUCAGCCGUAAUGUAAUUUUACCGAACCUUUCGUCUUCCCUGGAACAUAUAACUCAGCUGUGACAUGUAAAUUGACCGAACUUUUCGUCUUUCCUUAAGCAUAUAACUCAGCCGUAAUGUAAUUUUACUGAACCUUUCGUCUUCCCUGGAACAUAUAACUCAGCCGUGACAUGUAAAUUGACCGAACUUUUCGUCUUCCCUUAAGCAUAUAACUCAGCCGUGACAUGUAAAUUUGUAGCGAAACAAUAAGAGACGCAACAUUUCCUCUAACUUUAUCAUCGAGCACCAACUUCACAAGUUUUUUCGUGCGUUGUUUUCGCAUCUAUCUGCACAACUCUACACCCUCUUUCAUCGGUGUUAAAUACGUAUUUGUGUUUUUAUACCCAAUUACCGGAACCGGAUCAACCAUAUCGGGAGAAGGAUGAAAGAAAUUGAAGAAGAAUGAGGAAGACGAUGAGGAAUUGCAAGUUCCGGUGAUGUGAUAAACUCAGGUGAAGAAAACGAGUUGAGAAAAUUUGGCCCUAUUUUUUUGUCCUUUGAUGAUGAUGACAUGGAAUGAUGACAUGGAAUGUUGCAUCCACGUCAUUUUUUAAUUGAUGAAGUGGCAAGUAAGCCACCAAACGAAAAUGUAAAUCAACUUAAUUAAACCAGCCAUCAAACAAAACUUUAACUGAGCCGCAACAUGAAUACUAUUACAGUAAUUAAAAAACGAAAAAACGGCAGCCAAAUUCAGCCGUUUACUGUCGUAACUCAACAAAAAAUAUUUAACUCAGUCGUGUCAUUUAAUAAGUCGGCCGUCAUUGCAUGCUAUUCUAGUAAUUAAUCUUUCGCUACUAAGUCAGCCAUAAUAAGGCCGAGUUUUCCGUUAAUCCAGCUCAUUACGGCUGAUUUAUGAUACUCGAACAUAAAUCAGCCGUAACAUCAUCCCAUAACUAAGCCGUCUUUGAUAACUCAGCCAGCCGGAGAAAGUUAAGUCAGCCGUGUCGAAGCAAUAACUCAGCCAAAAAUUUGACAAAUCAACCAUCGGGUGAAAACUCAGCCGUAACUUAGGCUGGGUUAUGCUCGAAAGUCAGCCAUUUUAUCAUAACUCAGACAGAUUUCAGUAAGUCAGCCGUAACUCCAGGCUGGGUUAUACUCGUAAGUCAGCCGUUUGCUCAUAACUCAGCCAUUUUUCUUAAAUCAGCCGCAACAUACCGUAACUCAGCCGUCAUUGCCGCUAUAUCGCUCGACGGCUGAGUUCAUUAAUACACGUCAGCAAUUUCUGACGUGGUGACACGGCUUUGCUGACGUGGCAGUGGCAUUCUUUGUAAUUACGUUUUUUCCUGUAACGUUUAACAGGGGCACGCUGGGUAUAAAAAAUAUACCCGAAAUAUGAUAGUAAUAAAAAAAGAUCUGUAUGUUUCUGGUAAUUUCAUAUAAAAUGUAUAACAUCUGAGUAAAUCUCCCUUUUAAUAAAUCUGUCAAAAUUACGAAAGUCUAUGAUGUCAUCAUAAUAUAAGGGGGUGUUAUUCAACCAUGGAGUUAAAGUCAAUUCUUUAAGGUUUAGAUUUGUUUUCUGAUAUUGUUUUUAAGAAUCUGUUUGUGUGGAUUUCAAAAUCUCUGCAGUAUAUCUUGGAUUUUGAUUCUAAUAAUUUACUCAUAAAACUCCAAAGAGGUUUCAUUUCAAAUGAUUUAAUAUACAAAGAUUUUACAAGUCUUUUAGUUUUGAAUAACACUGGAUUUUAAUGAAGUAUUUUAAAUCUUAGUUGAAUAACACCAAACUAUUAAAAUCUAAUGAAGUAUAAGAUCCAAUAACACCAAAUUUUAAAGUUAGAUUUAGAAUCAUUAGUUUAAUAACACCGGAUUAGUGUUGGAUUUCAAUUCUAUUAAAAUCCAUCAAUGAAUAACACCACCUAAGUCUAACGUGUGGAAAAAAAUCUGCUACAAAUUAAAAAUAUGUCAUAAGUAUAUUCUGAUAAGUCUGUGGGAGGAAAAAAAUUUGGCGCAGAAAAUCUGUCGUAGCCAAUUAAGUCUGUCGUAAAAAAAUAAACCUGUCACAACUAAAGCCGCAGACUUUUAAUGGCAGAUUUUUCUCUUUCAAAAAUUUUCACCAACGUUUUUUUAAAAAAUUGAGGGUAAUUUUGAAUUUUAUUUUUUUCCUAACAAAUGAAAAAGGGUAUUUUGGUCAUGAAAAUAACUAGAUUAACCUUUAAAUUUCAUAAGUUAUUUUAGUAAUUAAAUCUAAAUUUUGGGUCAAACUAGUAUUUUUUACUUGGUAAUUUUUUGUUUUUGAGAAAGGGUUAUUUACUUGUCAAAUUGUAACCCAUUAAUAUACAAAAAUGAGUUUUCUUAUUUAUACUCUAGUAAAUUAACAUGAUUACGAGGAUAUAUAUGAAUGAUAGUGUUUUUAUUCCUGGUCUUUUUUUUUCUAAUGUAAGUUGUCAUUUGAUCACAUCUUACGCAGCAUGUCCAAAAAAUUUAUUAGAGACUUAAUCAUUGAAGAGAAUAUGAAACACAAUCAAUAUGUAUUGUACUUCUUCAAUUGUUUUCACAUGUAAAUAACAUAGUUAUUAUCCUCCAGUUCGAGGCCUUAUUAUUCACUUAACGACUCUGUAACUAACUUACAACAAUAUCAAAGGAAGAAAAUGAGCUCCACGUGAACAUAGACUCACGAAGCUUCAAAGAAAACCAACAACAGAAACAGAGCAAGCUUUUGAGACUACUGUCAAAAAAAAAAGCAAGCUUUUGAGAGUGAAUUUAGUAGGCCUGGGCUUUCGGUUAUCCGUUCGGUUAUCGGUUGGGUCCAUUCGGUUUUCGGUUCUUUCGGUUUUAAAAUUUAGUAUCCAUUCGGAUAUUUUGAAAUUUCGGUUCGGUUUCGGUUUGGUUUCGGUUCUUUCGGUUUUAAAAUUUAGUAUCCAUUUGGUUAUUUUGCUUAGGAUAUUUUUGGAUUUUUCGGUUAUUUUGAGUAUUUUCGAAUAUUUUUGGAUAUUUUUCGGUUAUUUUUGAGUAUUUUUACUAUUUUUAUAGAUUUUUCAAGUAUUUUUGAUUAUUUGGUCAAUAAAUAACUAAUUAUUUCGAAAAUACAAUUGUAUUUCGGGUAUUUCGGUUACCCGAAAUAUUUCGGUUCGGUACCGAUUCGGUUACGGUUAUUUCGGUUAUCAAAUUUAGUAUCCAUUCGGUUAUUUUCAAAUUUUCGGUUCGGUUCGGUUCGGUUUUUUUUUGCUUCGGUUUCGGUUCGGUUUAAAAGCCCAGCCCUAGAAUUUAGUAGACUAAUUCGGCCCAUUUCAUUCAAAGUCCAGCCACUUAGAUUUAGGCUGCUUUUUAGCCUCCCAAAAAAUUAAAUUUCAACUUUCAGGAGCCAAGUUUAUUCAAGCUUUGUUUAUUUUUUCGGUUUUGGGUUUUUCUGAUCAAAAUGAUAUUUGUUUUUCUGGUUUGUUUACCAAGUUUCAUGGAUGAAACAAAAUUAUUUCAUCUGUCAUAUGUCACUCAUAUCCGUUUCAUUCACCUCCAUUUCAUAUACAUAAUCUUUGUUCUACUAAUUCUUUUAAUGUUCACCACUUAGAUCUUCAAUCAAAAAGUAAACAUGCAAAAACUAAACCAUGAUUACAUCGUGUCAUAUCAUUAUGGAACCAUAACAUCGAUAUAAGCUCACACUUAGCAAGAGAUAUUGUCAUAUAUUCGUGUACAAGAACAAGGACACACUAGUAAAAUAGUCUCUUUAUUUAUUGAGAACAGUAGAUACAUAUAUUGAUCAAUCCAAUGAUACAAACCAUACAUAUAUAUAUAUAUAUGUUAUUAGAUUAAGUUACUUACAUAUCAAACCAAAAUAUCUGCAGAACCUUCUUAAUUAGAUAGGUAUUGUCACCUGGAGGGACGAGGUAGUCAAUGCCGACUGGAAUUUCAAGACAGUAUUUUUUGCACAUCUUUUCACAUAGGACAUGAGUCCCAUUUUUUACCACUUUCACACACUGGUUAGGGACACAAUUGUUAUAAUAUUGAAAGUCUUAGCACAUAACCAAAUGCCACUUUAUUUUUUGACCUUGUAACCAUAUAUAUGUUGCAUACAAAAAUCUAUUUUGAACAAAAGUAUGCAAUCUCUCUAAAAAUAUUUGUCGCUUGUAUGUAUAAUAGUAUCUUACUAUCUUACAUGAAAAGUAUUAACUAAGUGCUAAAAGACUCUAUUGCAUGGGUUUUAGUAUCUGGUUUUGGUCACAAAUGUGAAAACACAGUGUCAACAUAUACUUUUAUAUUUAAGAUGGUUUCUUAUAUUUUCAAUAGAAUCGGUUUUCGUAGUUUGAAAUGUUUAAAUACCGCAAGUGAGAAAUAAAGAGCACAACUAACGUCAUUGCAAUUCGAUGAAGGGAUGGGAUUAAUAAAAAUUGUAGUUAUAUAAUUACUGUAUUUUGGUUUGUUUGAUUUUAUUUUUGAUUAGGAAUGUGAUGAGCUCUUGUGCAAAGGCUAAAACCACUCUCAAAAGGAUUGUUCUUCAUUCUUUUUGCUCUUCGAUGCCACCAAAGCUAGCCUCUCCUCUCAGUGAGUCUCAUUGGAUAGACCCUGAUAUUGCAAACGCUUCAAUGUGAGAAAACACUUCUUAUCUUCAUAAAGAUUUUUGUUGUGAUUUUGGUGAAUUUGAUGAACUCGCAAUUUGAAGUAAACUAGGACUAUUUUGAUGUAAAUAAAUCUUAAUUGAUUUGAUUGAUGCACAGCUUUAUAGAGUUAGUUGAACGAGAAGGAAUCUAGACUCUAAGGACGUCGAUUGCGAGUCGAGAUAAUAAAUAUGCAUGAAAAAUAAAAAUCGCUAAUAAUAAGUUAAUAAUGCUAUACAAAUAUUGGUGAUAUAUAUUGAAUUUUUAUAAUUGAUUUGUUUUAAUGUAAAAUUUAAACCACAAAACCGAUCAGGUUAAUCAUAAACAAAACCAAACGGUUUUCAUUUACAUAUGUAUUUUUUCGAUAUAUUCGGUAUAGUUCAAUUGAAAUGGAUUCAAUCUAAGAAUUAGAGAGUUUUUUUCCUUUCUUUUUUAAUAAUUAUGAGUUGAAGAGUUGUUUGCAAGGUUGAGGUUUCAGAUUUCCGGAAGAUAAACUGUGAAGCGAUCCAGAAGAUAAAUGCGAUUUAAAUUUACAUCAUUUGAAUUCCUUUAGCUGGAUUAUUAAGAUAUAAAAUGAGCGACAACAUGCAUAUUUGUUACAAGAAAACUGACGUGAGAACAAUUAGACAACAUUGUAUAAGAAUUGGAUUAACAUAUAUGAAGAAACAAACAAUGAGAGCUUUUUUGAUUAUAGAUUAAUUAAUAGCACCACACAGAUUAGGAAACCAUCUGCAAAACCGGCUUUUAGUAGGCACAAUGUAUUUUUCUUUACCAUUUUGUAGGUCAUUGCAAAGUUUUUUGCAAGCAUCCUCGCACAUUGUAGGAGUAGCGUUUUUAACUUCUUUCAAACAUUGGUUUGAGACACAAUGUUUGAUACACAUAUCUACAUUAUUCGAAUGUGAGAUUUGUGCUGAAAACAUCAUUGUGAUUAAAGCUGUAACAAUCAAAAGAUUGCAUGUUUUCUUCAAACUUUGAGCUGCCAUAUCGUAUACGAAUGUAGUGAUAUUGAUUAGAACAAAUAUUAUAAAUAAAGAAGAUGAUUUGGUGAAGAAUGUUGUGUUUGUCUAGGUGAUUUAUAUAGUGAAGGUAAUGUUAUCUAUUUAUAGAAUUGGUUUUUUUGUUCGUCUUUCACGAUGGUGAAGAUUGCAUCUCUGUGAUUUAGUGUUAUGGUAAUCCAAACAACUUUAUUGUUAUGAGAUCUAAAGUCAAAACUCUGUUUCAUUCACGUCCAUUUAACUUUCGGCUUCGAUAAGGCCAAUGGUAAGAGAGCCAUGCGUGGGCAUCUUAAUUAGUCGUUAUCUUCGAAAUUAUCACAUUUUCGAAAAAGUCAUAUUUUUUACUUGUCAAUUUCUUUUUUGAGAAAGGGUUAUUACUUAUCAAAUUGUAAUCCAUUACUAUACAAAAAUGAGUUUUCUUAUUUAUACUCUAGUACAUUAACAUGAUUACGAGGAUAUAUAUGAUUGAUAGUGUUUUUAUUCCUGGUCUUUUUUUUCUAAUGUAAGUUGUCAUUUGAUCACAUCUUACGCAGCAUGUACAAUAAAAUUAUUAGAGAUUAAUUAAUCAUGUAAGAGAAUAUGAAACACAAUCAUUAUGACAUUAUGUAUUGUACUUCUUCCAUUGUUUUCACAUGUAAAUAACAAUUAGUAUCCUCUAGUUCGAGGCCUUAUUCCCUUAACGACUCCUUAACUAACUUACAACAAUAUCAAAGGAAGAAAAUAAGCUCCACGUAAACAUAUAGACUCGCGAAGCUUCAAAGAAAACCAACAACAGAAAUAGAGCAAGCUUUUGACUUUUGAGAGUGAAUUUAGUAGACUAAUUCGGCCCAUUUCAUUCAAAGCCCAGCCACUUAGAUUAAGGCUGUUUUUUAGCCUCCCAAAAAUUUAAAUUUCAACUUCUAGGACUAGGAGCCAAGUUUAAUCAAGCUUUGUAUAUUUUUUCGGUUUUGGGUUUUUCUGAUCGAAAUGAUAUUUGUUUUUCUGGUUUGUUUACCAAGUAUAUUUUUUGAUCGAAAUGGGUGAAACAAAAUUAGUCAUCUGUCAUAUCCGUUCCAUUCACCUCCAUUAUAUAUUGUACAUAAGCUUUGUUCUACUAAUUCUUAUAAUGUUCACCACUUAGAUCUUAAAUCAAAAAGUAAACAUGUAUAAACCAAACCAUGAUUACAUCGUGUCAUAUCAUUCUGGAACCAUAAUAUCGCUAUGAGCUGACACUUAGCAAGAGAUAUAGUCAUAUAUUCCUGUACAAACAAGGACACACAAGUAAAAUUAGUCUCUUUAUUUAUUGAGAGCAAUAGAUACAUAUAUUGGAGAUAUUGAUCAAUCCAAUGAUACAAAGCAUGCAUAUAUAUAUAUAUAUAUAUAUAUAUAUAUAUGUUAUUAGAUUAAGUUACUAACAUAUCAAACCAAAUAUCUGCACAACCUUCUUAGAUAGGUAUGGUCACCUGGAGGGACGAUGUAGUCAACUUUGACUGGCCCUUCAAGACAGUAUUUUUUGCACAUCUCUUCACAUAUGACAGGAGUCCCGUUUUUUACCACUUUCAUACACUGGUUUGGGACACAUUUCAAAUUGAUACACAUAUCUACAUUAUUCGAAUGUGAGAUUUGUGCCGAAAACAUCAUUGUGAUUAAAGCUGUAACAAUCAGAAGAUUGCAUGUUUUCUUCAAACUUUGAGCUGCCAUAACGUAUAUAAAUGCUGUGAUAUUGAUUAGAACAAAAGUUAUAAAUAAAGAAGAUGAUUUGGUGAAGAAUGUGAAGACAUAUGGAUGUCGGGCUACAUGAAGAUCCUGUGGAGCACAUGAGAGAGCUGUAUGCGGGAAACUGCAAGACAUUAAAUGAAGAUGAUGUGGCGAGCAGUGAUUGGUGAUUGGAAGUUUCCAGAACGUGAUGCUCAAGUUAUUCGGUGUAUUGAAGAUACGAUCAAAUCAAGGAAAGAAGAUUUGGUGUGAUCUGAAGAUUAGGAAAGUUGUCUAUGACGCUUCCUUUAUAUUCGCAGUCUAGACUUUAGGUUUAGGUGGGCGUUUAGACUAUCUCUGUGAAUCUCAAGUACUAGGCUAGAAGCUGUUAGGGUUCUUGGUGAGUGAACAGAGUGUAUGCAUAGCUGUUGCUGUGUUGUGAGUUUGGGUAGAUUAAGAAUUGGUCAGUGACGAGUUGUGUCAACGUCGUGUAAAUCUGAUUAAACAUAUCUUGUAGAUUGUUUAAGUGAUUCUUAAUAAAGGAAAAGAAGUUCUUUUCAAUUGCCUCAACAUCUAUAUAAUAAUAAUUGGUAUCAGAGCGGGUGACCGACCUGAGUACUAACUCAAUACAGGUUAAGAUCCUGCAGAUUAGAGAUGUCGAAGGCAGAACUCAACAGACCGGUGAUGCUGGAUCACAAAGGCUACGGUCACUGGAAAACUCGGAUGAUGUAGUUAAUCAGAGGAAAGGGAGAGGACGCCUGGACUGCAGUUGAAGAUGGCUGGGAACCUCCGUUCAGCACAACAGAAGACGGUCUGAAAGUGAAGAAACCAAAAGCUAACUGGACUGAUGCAGAAAAGAAUUUAUCCAAGUUCAAUGCAAGGGCUAUGAAUGCUAUCUAUUCAUGCCUUGAUGAUGAUGAAUUCAAUCUGGUUCAAGGAAGUGAGAAUGCUAAACAGAUGUGGGAUAUUCUGCAGAAAACCCAUGAGGGCAACACUGGUGUAAAACGCACCAGGCUGGACCAGUUGGCUACAGACUUUGAAAAUCUGAAGAUGGAUCCUUCAGAAACAAUUGUUCAGUUCAGUUCUAAGCUGAGUGGGAUUGCAAACGAAGCAAAAUCAUUAGGGAAAACGUACAAGGAGAAAAAGCUGGUGAAGAAGAUGCUUCGUUGCCUACCACCGAAAUACGCUGCACACAAAGCUGUCAUGAGAGUUUUAGGAAACACAGAUACCCUGAAAUAUGAAGAUCUGGUUGGGAUUCUAAAGUCUGAAGAGAUGGAAGUUGCUGAAGAUCAACGAAACCAGAAUAAAGGAAUAGCGGUCAAAGCUGAUGAAGAAAAUGGUCCAGAUCCGCUGCAAGAAAUAAGAGACAAUCUGUCUCUCAUGGCCAGAAAUUUCGGAAAAGCUUUGAAACAGGUUAAAGAGGGUAAGGACACAGACAGCAGGGACACAAGAGAGAUCAGUAGCUGGAACAGAAGUGAUGCUGAAAAGUCAGGCAGCAGGCAUGUAAGGAGCGAAUCAUCAGGAAGGAAACGUGAUCUGAAAUGUCACGAGUGUGGAGGUAUAGGACAUACUCGACCUGAAUGUCCUGUGGCAAGACGCAAGGAGCUGAAGUGCUAUGAGUGUAAUGGAUUUGGUCAUGUAAAAUCAGAAUGUCCAAGUUCACAGAAAGGUAAAGAGAAAUCUUUGUUGAGCUUCAGUGAGUCUGAAUCAGAUAGUGAUGGUGAAGCUGAACCUAUGAUGAAUUUUGUCGCAUUCAGUGCAAAAGAUCAGAAUAACUCCAGUGAGGAUUCUGAUUCAGAUAAUGAUGAUGGAAAUCAGAUCACUAGUGACGACUACAAGACUCUGUAUGACAGCUGGAUCUCUCUGAGCAAUGACAAGCUGCAGCUCACUAAGGAAAAAUUGAUGGUGGUGGCACAAGUGAACAUGCUGGAAGAAGAAGUGGAGGAAGGAAAAAUUGGCGAGAAGCUACCUGUGUCAGAAAAGGAGUUUCUUGAGAAGAAAAUGAAAUGUUUACUUGAGAGCUAUGAAAAAGAGAAAGAAAAAGCUUUAAUGCUGGAAAGAGAACUGAGUGAGAACCACAAGAAGAUUAGAAUGCUGAAUAAUGGUGGUAAAAAUCUGGAUCAGAUUCUGUCCAUGGGAAUAGUUGGUUCAAGUCAUAGAGGAUUGGGCUAUCAGUCAUAUGCUCCCAAAGCAUAUCUGGAUAUGCCAAAGACAGUUCAGUUCGUGAGGAGUACAACCUAUCAUGAUGAAGAAGCUCAAGUGGAAGAGAAACAGCAGCCUAGGAAGGUGAAUCAGAAUGCUCCACAGAAUACGGCUGUACAAUACAGGAAGACUGCACCAAGAAAGACUGCACCCAGAAAGAAGUGGACCAGGUCAAAUAAUAAUAUGGCUGUCCAAUACAGGAAGACUGCAUCAAGAAAGACUGCAUCCAGAAAGAAGUGGAUCAGGUCAAACAGAGGUCGAAAAGUGUUUGAAUGUUUCUAUUGUGGAAAACCAGGUCAUAUCAGAAGGUCUUGUUAUAAGUUUCAAGACAAGAUCAAGCAACUGUGGCAAGCACGGAAAUGCUUUAUUGAACCAUCCAAGUUUGGUAAAGUAUGGGUUCGCAAGAUAGACCUGUACAACAAAGAUUCAGAGCAUGAUGAGAAACAGUACAACAAAGCAGUCUCUGAAUCUGAAGAAAUAAGUCUGACAUGUAACGUGACGAUUGUACAACUGGAUGAGUCUGAUAAAGAUGAGGAGUUCACUGCAAAGGUAGCUUACACAUCUAUAGAUGGAACUGCAAAUAACCCUUGGUACUUUGAUAGUGGCUGCUCAAAACACAUGACAGGUGAUUCAAGUGUUCUGUCAACCUUCACAUAAGAGGCCAGUGGAAAAGUUACAUUUGGUGAUGGUGGUAAAGGACGUAUAAGAGGCAAAGGAAACAUCGAAUGUGAUGAUCAACCAUCACUGAUAAAUGUGUACUACGUUGAAGGCUUGAAAGAAAAUUUGAUUAGCAUAAGUCAGCUGUGCGAUGAUGGUCUGAAAGUAAUCUUCACUAGGACUGAUUGUCAAGCUGUUGAUGAAAAUGGAAACACUGUACUGUGUGGGGUGCGCUCAGGCAAUAACUGCUACAUGUGGAAGGCAUCAGAUAUCUGUUUGUCUGUGUCUGUUAAUGAUCUGGAGCUGUGGUACAAGAGACUUGGACACAUGAACGUUCAGACCCUAAUUAAGAUUGUGAACGCUGGAGUGGUUCGAGGUGUACCAAAACUGGCUGACAAACUGGAGUCUGUAUGCAGUGUAUGUAACAAAGGAAAGCAGAUCAAGGUCAAUUAUAAGAAGGUACCUGAAAUUGAAAGUAAAAAGGUACUUGAGCUGAUUCAUAUAGAUCUCAUGGGUCCAGUACAAAUGGAAAGUAUCAAUGGGAAGAAGUACAUCCUUGUGUUGGUAGAUGAUUUUUCAAGGUACACAUGGGUUCAGUUCCUAAGAGAGAAGUCUGAAGCAGUGGAAAGCUUUAAGAUUCUUACCCUACAGCUUCAGAAUGAAAAGGGAAGGAUCAUUCAUAUAAGAAGUGAUCAUGGAAGAGAAUUCCAGAAUGAGAUCUUUGAACAGUUCUGUCAAACGCAAGGAAUCAGACAUCAGUAUUCAGCACCCGGAACACCUCAGCAGAAUGGAAUUGUUGAACAGAAAAACAGAACACUGCAGAAAAUGGCUCGUGCUAUGAUUCAUGGUAAUAACAUCUCUCAAGGUUUCUGGGUAGAAGCAGUUAGCACAGCAUGCUACAUUGUCAACAGGGUUUAUGUGAAACCUGGCACAAAGACCACUUCAUACGAGAUAUGGAAGGGAAAAAAUCCGAAUCUGAGCCAUUUCCGUGUAUUUGGAUGUGUGUGUUAUAUUCUUAAUGAAAAUGAGCACUUCGGAAAAUUCGACUCUAGAAGUGAUGAGGGAAUUUUCUUGGGAUACUCUACAAACAGCUCAGCAUACAGAGUGUAUAACAAGAGAACCAAGGUAAUUGGUGAUGCUGUCAAUGUGGUCUUUGAUGAUAAAAAUAGAUUUGUGUUACCUCCUGUGCUAGACGAGUACAUAGAAGAAUCUGCAGCAUACGAGUCUCCAGAAGCAUCUGCAGCAGACGAGUCUGCAGAAGCACCUACAUCAGACGAGUCUGCAGAAACACCUACAGCAGACGAGUUUGCAGAAGCACCUGCAGUAGACGCACCUGAAACAGCUCUUGAAGAUAAAUUCACUGACAGAGAAGUAUCAUCUGAGGCACAGUCACCUGUUGUACCUUCUACGACAAAGAAACUAGUUGUUCAUAAGUAUCAUUCAACUGCUGAUUUGAUAGGAGAUUUGAAUGAAAGAACGACCAGAGGUGUUCAGCUUAACUUCAAAGAAAUGCUGCAGCACUCGUGUUUUGUGUGUUUAGUUGAACCCAAGAAUAUUGCUGUAGCUCUUGAAGAUGAAUUCUGGUAUGGUACUUGUACAGAGGAACUAAAUCAGUUUUCCAGAAAUGAAGUGUGGGAUCUGGUACCUCGACCUGCACAGAUAAAUGUUGUGGGCACAAUGUGGAUAUUCAAGAACAAGAUUGAUGAAGAUGGUCAGGAUAUUGAUCAAAAACUCUACAGAGUCAUGAUCGGAAGUCUGAUGUAUCUGAUAACUAGCAGACCAGACCUGUGUUAUAGUGUUGGUCUGUGUGCCCGUUACCAAGCCUUUCUACGUGUAUCCCAUUUAAAUGCAGGUUUCUGUGAUGCAGACUGGUCAGGAUGUCUUGAUGGCAGACGAAGCACAUCUGGAGGAUGUUUCUUUCUGGGAAACAACCUGAUCGCUUGGCAUAGCAAGAAGCAGAACUACAUCUACCUGUCGUCCACUCAGGCUGAGUACAUUGCUAUGGGGAGCUGCUGUACUCAACUACCAUGGAUGAAACAAAUACUUGCGGAUUAUGGUAUGACUUCUGAAAUUUUGUUGAUAAACUGUGAUAAUACAGGUGCAAUUGAUAUUACUAAGAACCAUGUUCAUCACACUCGCACUAAGCACAUUGGUAUUAGGCACCAUUUCAUCAGAGAGCUAGUUGAAGGGAAACUUGUUGAGAUCCUCUAUAUUGAUACUGAGAAACAAUUGGCUGAUAUUUUUACUAAACCACUUGAUUUGAGCACUUUCACAAAUUUGCAAAAGUCACUUGGUAUUUGUGAAAACUGACCUGGUUUUUGUCACUAAGGGAUUGUUGGAACAGGAUCACUGCACAGGAGUAC
rnacentral:lncRNA from 1 species